CCUGGUAGUCCACGCCGUAAACGAUGUCGAUUUGGAGGUUGUGCCCUUGAGGCGUGGCUUCCGGAGCUAACGCGUUAAAUCGACCGCCUGGGGAGUACGGCCGCAAGGUUAAAACUCAAAUGAAUUGACGGGGGCCCGCACAAGCGGUGGAGCAUGUGGUUUAAUUCGAUGCAACGCGAAGAACCUUACCUGGUCUUGACAUCCACAGAACUUAGCAGAGAUGCUUUGGUGCCUUCGGGAACUGUGAGACAGGUGCUGCAUGGCUGUCGUCAGCUCGUGUUGUGAAAUGUUGGGUUAAGUCCCGCAACGAGCGCAACCCUUAUCCUUUGUUGCCAGCGGUCCGGCCGGGAACUCAAAGGAGACUGCCAGUGAUAAACUGGAGGAAGGUGGGGAUGACGUCAAGUCAUCAUGGCCCUUACGACCAGGGCUACACACGUGCUACAAUGGCAUAUACAAGAGAAGCGAC
rnacentral:rRNA from 1 species